AAUUAACGUUAGCUAGCUAACGCUAAUAUGGAAAGCUAUUAUAGGCAACAAAGGCAUCAAUGCAAACAAACACUUUUCUGUUGGGCAGUGGGUGACCAUCAGCGUGUUUCCUGAGGUAUCAUUAGGAUGCUGGACGUCUGCCUGCCGAUUCACAACCAGAAGUUGGUUCAUACUCACAGACUUCAGCAGAGCGCAGAUCCUCGAGGCCUUUUACAGCACAGGAGAAGCUUUCAGCAGCGGUGCUGGGAACUACAAACUUUGGUUUCUCAACUACAUGUCUGCUCUUAUACCAUAUAAAGGCAGUCAGAGGACAGCUUGUGUUACAGGUCAGUGUGACAUGGCCCGGUUCAGCUGCAGGACUCCUUUGAACAUGUACUUCUGUUGGGGGAUGAC